GACGCCGGGCUCGCCUGGAGAAGCAGGCCGCGUUUGGAGGGCUUUUUGGAGGGACGGGAUUAUAGAGCAGGCCUGGGCCAACUUCGGCCCUCCCUCCAGGGGUUUUGGACUUCAACUCCCACAAUUCCUAACAGCCGGUAGGCUGUUAGGAAUUGUGGGAGUUGAAGUCCAAAACCCCUGGAGGGAGGGCCGAAGUUGGCCCAGGCCUGGCUUUUGAUGCAUUUACACCAGGCAUAGGCAAACUUGGGUCCUCCAGGUGUUUUGGACUUCAACUUCCACAAUUCCUAACAGCCGAUAGGCUGUUAGGAAUUGUGGGAGUUGAAGUCCAAAACACCUGGAGAGCCCAAGUUUGCCCAUGCCUGAUUUACACCAUACAAUUAAGGCACUUUUGACAUGACUUUUAACUGCUAUGAAAUCCUGGGAAUUGUAGUUUGGUGAAACACCAGCACUACUCCGCAGAGAAAGCUAACGGUUCCUUUGCUGUGAGUUUUCCAGUCUGCAUGGCCAUGUUCCAGGAGCAUUCUCUGCUGACGUUUCGCCUGCAUCCAAGAGGAGGUAGGCAUCCUCAGAAAUCUGUGGGAAUGAGGCAAGUGGGGUGUAUAUACUGGAUUGCUGUGUGUUUUUCCAGGCUGUAUGGCCAUGUUCCAGAAGCAUGCUCUCCUGAUGUUUCAGCCACAUCUAUGGCAGGCAUCCUCAGAGGUCUGUUGGAAACUAGGCAAGCUGAGUUUAUAUAUCUGGAAUAUCCAGAGUGGGAGAAAAAACUGUUGUCUAUUUGAGGAAAGUGUGAAUGUUGCAAGUGAACACCUUGAUUAGUAUUGAAUGGCCUUGCAGCUUCAAAGCCUAUCACCUUCCUGCCUGGGGGAAUCCUUUGUUGGGAAGUGAUUAUCUGGCCCUGAUUGUUUCUUGUCUGAAAUUCCCCUGUUUUUGAGUGUUGUUCUUUAUUUACUGUCCUGAUUUUAGAAUUUUUGUAAUAUUGUUAUCCAUGUUUUGUUCAUUUUCAUGGUAUCUCUGUUGAAAUGCUUGUGGAUUUUAAUGGCUUUUCUGUAUCUAUAUAUAUGGAAGCGGACAACUCCCAUGUCAGCUCCACUAACUAUCGAGCCGUGUCCAAGCUGGACACAAAGUGCUGGUUAUUGCCUAUAAAACCCACCAGUUGAGAACUGCUGCCCUAAAUAUUUAGGGCCCAGACUAUUUGACAAAGUGCAUCCCUGCCUACAAACACACCCAGACACUGCGAUCAUUUGAGGGAACCCUACUUUCAGUCCCACCCCGUCUCAAGCGCGGUUCACACCAGAGAGGGGGCCUUCUCUGUGGUUGCCCCUUCCCUCUGGAACUUCCUCCCUAAAGAAAUCAGAACAGCUUCUUCUCUACUUUCUUUCAAGAAACAACUAAAAACUUACUUUUGUACGCUAGCUUAUGGACAGCAAGAUGAUUAAUUUUUACCUCCAAUUCUAACACGUCUGAUGGUGUUGGCAAUGAAUUCCUUAACUUAUUGAAGAGCUAUAUAUUUUUUAUAUUUUAUACAGAUUUCAACAGCAUAACUGCUUCAUGGGGUUAUUUAUGGGGUCUGACUGAAUUAGUUGUUAUGUCUUUUAGCCAAGUAUCCCACCUGGAAUACUCUACAGAUAGAUGGAGUCUGUGCCUCAUUUCCACAGACCUCUGAACAGACCUCUGAGGAUGCCUGCCAUAGAUGCAGGCGAAACAUCAGGAGAAAAUGCUCCUGAAACAUGGCCAUACAGCCCAGAAAAUUCACUACAUCCCAGUGAUUCUGGCCAUGAAAGCCUUCGACAACACAAAGCUAAUGGUUGUAUAAAACUACCCCUCCCAUGAUUCUGUAACAUUGAGCCAGAGUAGUUAAAGUGCCACCAGACUGUAUUCAUUUUACAGUGUAGAUCAGGCCUGGGCCAAAUUUGGCCCUCCUCCAGGUGUUUUGGCCAAUUCCUAACAGCCUACUGGCUCAUGCCUGGAUUGUAGAUGCACCCUGUUGGGGUUUGUUUCUGGGAAUAGUGCCCCUGUCGUGGAUACCAAAACAUGUGGAUGCUUAUGUGCCAUUAUAUACAAUGUUGUAAUAAAAUGGUGUCCCUUGUAUAAAAUGGCAAAAUCAAAAUUUGCUUUUGGAGUUUUUAAAAAAAUAUUUUGAAGUUGUGAGUAGGAAAUCUGUGGAUACAGAAUUCAUGGAUAUGGUGGGUCAACUGUAACUACGGUAUUUCAGGAAGCAUAAUAGUGAGGUUGGAGAAGGCUGUGAUAAUGAUGAUGGUCAUUUAUUUAUUGUGAGUAGUGCAAUCUGUGGAUAUAGAAUCCAUGAAUGAGGUGGGCCAAUUGUAAACUGAGGAGGCAAAAGAGUGAUUGCAGGAUGUGAUGAUGAUCAUGAUGAUGGUCAUGGAUUUACCUAGCGCCAUCAGUGUACAUACCAUUCUACAAGUAAAACAGCGAGUCUUGCCAAAGGUGUACAAUCUGAAAUAUAUAUGUGUGUAUGUACACCAUAGAACGACAGAAGAAACAAUUAAAUCUAAAUGAUCUAAUUGUAAAACAAUUAUCCAGAAAAAUACAAUGCCAUAUAAAAUAAAGCAAACUGGCCAAUGUAUGCAAUUAAAAUAUACAAAAUUAUAAAACAAGGUAAAACGGAAAGUGGUGAGAGAUGGCUACAAAUGAAGGCUGUUGAGAGGAAAGGUAGGAGCUGGGAUGGAGAGUACUAUUCCACAAGUCUUUCCAAUCACCCAGGAACUCUGGGAAAUAAUCGUGAUAAUCAUACAGGUUGUGUCAUUCUAUUCCUUAUGCCCUUUGGCCUCAAAGUGCUCUGUUUUGUUGCAGAUUGGGAUCAUAAUCAUAAAAGGACAAGAUUACUGUUGAUCUAGCGUAGGUUAGAAAUAGACUAGCAGCAACAGUAAUCGUAGGUCAUUACCAUUAAAUCAGAUACGAGAAAAAAGAACAUAAAUACAUGCAGUAUCCUAAUCACUGUUUUGGGAUGAGAAGAAAGAUGCCAUAAUAAUAGAAACUGAAGAAAAGAACCAAACUGGAUCAGACUGUAUAUCUCUUAAGUCUUUCUAUCCAAAAGUUUGCACAGAGGCUACUAGUUGCCCACAGAAAGCCCCUGCCAUGUCUCUUUCUCCAGCAACUGAAAUAUAGAGGCAUCCUGGUGUAAUGUUUUGACCAUCGGAUUAUGACUCUGUAGAACGGGGUUCAAAUUCCCACUCUGUCAUUGAAACCACUGGGUUACCUUAGGCAAGUCAAAUACAUUCAGCCUCAGGGGAAGACAAAGGCAAAUUGAAUGAAUCCUACCCAUAAAACCCCAUGAUAUGGCCGGAAACAAAUUGAAGGCACUCAAUAACUACCACCAUUCUUGGAUGCUAGAGGCAGUGCAUAGCCAUCAUGAUUUGGGGCCCUGUAGCCAUCACGUAUCUUGUGACAAUGAAAUCUAGAAUGAAAGUAUGUGUUGUGUGAAGAAGUAAUGUCCAGUAUCUCUAAUUAUUUAAUUUCUUUGGGAGAUCUGAUUUCUAGUAUGAGACAGAAGGAAAAUCUCUUCUUUUGAGUUCUUCACAUCAUGCAUAAUUUUAGACACUUUUGUUUUUCCCCUUGUUUAACUAUUUUCUAUGCAAAUAAAUCCCAAAUAUAUUUCUUCCUCAUAGCACAAUUACUGUGUCCUCUUGGUCAUUUUGGUUCCCCUUUUGAGCUGAACAUAAAUAUAGUUUAAAGGUGUAGUUCUAAUAACUUUAAACAGUAUUCCAAGUAUGGUUGGACUAUAAGGUAGUAUGCUAUUGCCAGUUUUACUUUACAUUCCCUUUCCAAAUUAUGCCCAGUAUGAUUUUUUUUUCUCUUUUAUGGCAUUUACAUAGGGCAUUUUUUGUUGAGCUAUCCGUCAUAAUCCUUUUUUGGUCAGUCAUUGUCAGUUGAUAUCCCAUCUGUAGUGAAGUUGGGAUUUUUCUACCAUAUAUAUGCCUGCUUAUAUUGAAUGUAGGUCGCUGUUUUAUUGUCCUGUCUUCCAGUUUGUGCUUUGAAAUAUGUUUUUGUUCUUUCUUCUCUAUAUAAUUUCAGGUUGUCACUGCUCCCUUCACUGCUCAUGUCAACUUAAAUUGUUUAUUUGAGAGUUUUCAGUUAAAUAUGUGUGAAACUGAGAAAUCUAGUAAUCUAAGGGUGUAGAGAUGAUCAUUCUUAUUUGUAGAGGAUAGGUGAGGGGUAAGGUUUUUUGACCUUGUAAGAGAAUUAGAUAUGAGAAGAGAAACAACAUUACAGGAGUCUCUCAUUUGAGAAUGGUUUAAUUUAAUGCUUCUUGAAAACAGGGAUCCUUGUUGGGGUAUUUUUGGAAGAUGGCAGCCAAUUAUAUAUUGUGUAAAUGCCAGUUUAAGUUAUGAUCUGUUUGAAUGUGCUAGCAUUGUUGAUACUUUACUUUCUAAAUUCCUACCUAAAUAUUUAAAAUUCGUGUUCCAGCUUUUAUUUGUAGUAGUUACAGUGUAACGUUACAGUACUGACACCAUUACAACCGUCUGUUGAGUUUGAGAUAACAUUACAGUUCCCAUUUUUCCCCACCCCUCUACCUGCAGUGUUAUAAUUGAUUCCUAUAUGUAGUAGAAGAUUGCAGAUUUAGUUGUGCUGCCUCAGUGUUACUGGAAAACCUUGCUAAAAAAAAAACAGACUAGGUGAACAAAGUUCUGCAUAUAUCCAGUGUUGGACUGGGAUGGAUGUUGCCCUUGGGUCACCAGCCAGUGAGUGUUGCCAUGACUGGCUGAAUGACAUUUGUGGAUGAGCCAAUUAGUACUUUUAAUUAAUUAAUAUACUGCUCUUCUUCCUCAGUGGGACCCACUUAUGUGUGUUGUUUACUCCAGUUUCCUCGAACAGGUGGUGCAAGGCAUUGGCUGCCAUACUGAAGUGAGUUUUUAGGGAAGAAACAUACAUUUGAUAUCAACAGGAUGAAAUACAGAAACACAAACAUGUACAUUUGUACUAGGCAUGGGCAAACUUUGGCCCUCAAGGUGUUUUGGACUUCAACUCCCACAAUUCCUAACAGCUGGUAGGCUUUUAGGAAUUGUGGGAGUUAAAGUACGAAACCCCUGGAGGUCCGAUGUUUGCCCAUGCCUGAUAUAUACACAUAGACAUGCAUAUACAUAUAUGGUUUCUUUUACAUUGGAAAAAUGACUGAUCCUUGAUGUUGUGUAGUUUGGGAAGCAUUUCUGUAGUCGGUGGAAUGUGACUGUAUUCUCCUUCACUGUAGUUGCCUUGUGUCCUCUCUACUAUGUUCAGCCUGACCUCCUGUCAGACUCCUUCUCCAUUACAAGAGAUUUUAAGGACCACCAAUUGAGCCCCAUUAUACCAUGCAGGAAUACACAACCAAAGCACUCCCAACAGAUAUGGCCAUCUGGCUUCUGUUUUAAAACUUCUAGAAAAGGAGAACCAAUCUCUUUCCGAGGCAGUACAUUCCACUAUCAAACAGCUCUUACUGUCAGGCAACUCUUUUUAAUAUUUAGGUAAUAACUAUUAUGAAUAUUUACAAAGUCUCAACAUUUAUGAAGAAAUCUUUCAAAACUAUGCAGAUUGGUAAAGGGAAAGUCUAGAUGCUACCUAACAUUGGUUAAUAAAGGAUGUUUUAAUGUAAUAAGUAUGGUAUGUAAAAAGGAUUUUCUUGUGAAAGUUGGCUUAUGUGUUAGCAUGGGCACUCUUAAAACAUCUGGGGGCUGCUUGUAUGAUGUAUUUCAUCAUCUUGGGAUUUUAGAAGUAUGUUUGGGAGCCAUUUUCCAGCGCCUCCCUUGCUUUUAGGAUUGCAGGAAGUUUUAUUUCAAAACCCUCCUGUGCCAGAGAACAACAACGUUGCAAAAUUGCCCUAACAGGUAGAGAUGUGGUCUAUAAACUCAGGUUUUGUGAAUGAGCCUGUAUUCAGCAGGGUUAAUUUGUUGCUACAAAAGCAAUAUAGUCUAUCUUAUCAUGGCACACACCUUCAUAGAUUACAGCUCACUUUAUUAAAUAAUGAAGUGGAAAUCAGUGAAAAGGUAUGCUGUAAUAAAAUAAGCUAGUCUUCUGGGUCCUCAAACUUUUUAAGCCGAGGGCCGGUCCACAAUCCUUCAGACUGUUGAGGGGCUGAACUAUCAUUUGAAAAAAAAUUAACAAAUUCCUAUGCACACUGCACAUAUCUUAUUUGUAAUGCAAGAAAACCCCAACAACAACAACAACAAUGAAAGAACAAUACAAUA